CAGUAGCCGCGGUAAUACGAAGGGUGCAAGCGUUAAUCGGAAUUACUGGGCGUAAAGCGUGCGUAGGCGGUUUGUUAAGUCUGCUGUGAAAUCCCCGGGCUCAACCUGGGAAUGGCAGUGGAUACUGGCAAGCUAGAGUGUGUCAGAGGAUGGUGGAAUUCCCGGUGUAGCGGUGAAAUGCGCAGAGAUCGGGAGGAACAUCAGUGGCGAAGGCGGCCAUCUGGGACAACACUGACGCUGAGGCACGAAAGCGUGGGGAGCAAACAGGAUUAGAUACCCCCGUAGUCCCUGUCUCUUAUAC
rnacentral:rRNA from 1 species